rnacentral:lncRNA from 1 species
CCGGCCCACGACUCCAUCUCGUUGCGGCUGUCGGCGCAGAGGACCAGGCAGCGACUUGCUGUUAUGUCACACUUACCAGUGGUGGUCUCCAGAAGACAGUCUAGCAACCAGGUCAGCGACAUCAGCACCGCGGUGCAGGGCGCCGCGCAGUGCUCCGGCCCACGACUCCAUCUCGUUGCGGCUGUCGGCGCAGAGGACCAGGCAGCGACUUGCUGUUAUGUCACACUUACCAGUGGUGGUCUCCAGAAGACAGUCUAGCAACCAGGUCAGCGACAUCAGCACCGCGGUGCAGGGCGCCGCGCAGUGCUCCGGCCCACGACUCCAUCUCGUUGCGGCUGUCGGCGCAGAGGACCAGGCAGCGACUUGCUGUUAUGACC